rnacentral:rRNA from 1 species
UGCAAGUCGAACGAGAGAGAAGGAGCUUGCUUCUUCGAUCGAGUGGCGAACGGGUGAGUAACGCGUGAGGAACCUGGCUCAAAGAGGGGGACAACAGUUGGAAACGACUGCUAAUACCGCAUAAGCCCACGGGUCGGCAUCGACCUGAGGGAAAAGGAGCAAUCCGCUUUGAGAUGGCCUCGCGUCCGAUUAGCUAGUUGGUGAGGUAACGGCCCACCAAGGCGACGAUCGGUAGCCGGACUGAGAGGUUGAACGGCCACAUUGGGACUGAGACACGGCCCAGACUCCUACGGGAGGCAGCAGUGGGGAAUAUUGCACAAUGGGGGAAACCCUGAUGCAGCGACGCCGCGUGGAGGAAGAAGGUCUUCGGAUUGUAAACUCCUGUUGUUGAGGAAGAUAAUGACGGUACUCAACAAGGAAGUGACGGCUAACUACGUGCCAGCAGCCGCGGUAAAACGUAGGUCACAAGCGUUGUCCGGAAUUACUGGGUGUAAAGGGAGCGCAGGCGGGAAGACAAGUUGGAAGUGAAAUCUAUGGGCUCAACCCAUAAACUGCUUUCAAAACUGUUUUUCUUGAGUAGUGCAGAGGUAGGCGGAAUUCCCGGUGUAGCGGUGGAAUGCGUAGAUAUCGGG